UUUACAGGGAGAGAAAGGAGAACCUGGUGAGGAUGGGGAAAAAGGAGACCCAGGGGACUCAGUAUCGGGGCCACCCGGGCCCCAAGGCCCACCAGGUGUUGCAGGUCUUCAAGGCCUUCCAGGACCGAAGG